CGAAAAACAAUCCACCUUCCAACAGUUCCAACUGUCGACAGAACUCUUUAAACUUACUACACAAAAGUAACACUUGAAACUCAACUCCAAUAUAAAUUAUCAACAUGAAUCGCAACUUGUCUGUGUAUCUUUUGGUCGCCGCAUUGGUUUUGCUGGUAGCAACCACAAUGAUCGAUGCUGAGUGCCGUUGGCCGGACUGCCACGCACACUCAGCUCGCCACCACGAGUGCACCCUGCGUAGGUGUUUCAAGUAGGUGGAAAAUCCGAACAGUGUUGCAGGUGAUGCAAUUUUAAUUGCAAUUUUUUUUUUUUAACGCAAUAUAUUAUUUUAAUUUUGUUUUAACCAAUUUAUAUUUAUACCUAUAUGUUUGACAUCACUACACAAUUAGUCGUAAGACGCGUUUAUCUGUACUUAUAUUAGUUAUAUUAUUAGUAUUUAUCACCAUUACUAACGAUCAUUGAAUUAUUGUGAUUUUUUUUUUUUAUUACAAUUAAAAUAAAAUUAAUAAAAACUACUUUGCAACAUUA